rnacentral:lncRNA from 1 species
ACCACCUACUUUGUUCUACUCGUGCCUUAGCACUCCCCCUGUGCCCUGUACUUCCAGAAGUUUAGCCCUUUGUUAGGGCAUCUAGUCUAUAACAUGGCAAGCUACUGUCUAUAACUGAUUUUAGUUAUAUUCUGCUGGAUUUGUACCUCACUCUACUAUAGCACGCUUUAAAAAUGCACAGGGGAAUUGUAGGCAGAGAGGGCACAAAGUACAGCAAAAGAAAAGUACACAGCAAGUUGUGUGUCUGGGAGGGUCAGGAAGGAGUCACACACGGUGACACCACAUCCAAGGGCAAAAUUACUUUCUUUAUUGAACAUAUUUUUUAAUCCCGCCUCUCUCCUUCAAAAGGACCCAAGUUAUGAUCGUUCUUGAUACAAAGCCUCCGGAACUACUGAGUACAGUACUGUGCGCCAGUUAUCCGCCCGAUGCCCUUAUUAGGAGGAAAGGCCCUAAACCUCCCCUUCGAUGAGGAAAUCAGAUCAUAAAUAUCCUCCCCGCCACCCACCCGCACCCAGAGGUGGUUUAAGCGUGCAAGAGGCGGCCUGAGGCGUCCUCCCGGGAGCUGCCUCAGGACCCAGCCUCUCUCUCCAAAAAGCCGCUCCCUUCGACCGUCUCGGCACCUGCUCGAACUUGAGCGGCUCUUUGCUUUAUGAACAGCGAGGGCUCCUCCGUCGUCUCCGGACAGCCCCGAACGAGGAGAGUCGUGGGGAAGGUUUGAGAGAGAGAAAGAAAAGAGUUCACAGGACCAGCGAAACCGCGCCUUUGGAGGAAGAGGCGGCAGCAGCAGCCGCCAUCGCGCGGAUUUUCACUUUCGCUACUUCGAGCGGCCGGGACGCCGGGACGACGCGACGGCCAUGUGGGGACUGUUCUGGGCUCUGCUCCUGCUUCUUCGGUUGGAGCUUCCGCUCGGGGCCUCGCCAGAAGAACAGUGUCAUCAGAAUACCAUCGGUGGCAUUGAAGGAAAAGAUAUUGCUUUACACCCAAAUGUUAGUGGCUCGCCAGCAGAGAUUACCUGGAUGAAAGACAGAAAUAUAGUGGCUACGUCAAUUGAUGGUUUUCCAACAAAGAACAAUUUAGAGCUUAUCGUUAAUAAUGGUAGUUUGAUUCUCCACAACCUGUCACUGAAAGAUGUUGGAUGUUACAAAGCUGAAAUUGAAGUUAAAGAUGAAGUAACAGAAACAUUUUUUGGUUUGAAAGUAUUAGUACCACCUAGUUUAACCUGCUCUACCAAUGAUAGCAUCCAAAUAAGCUGCAAUCUGCCCACCAACAUGCUGGAUCUGUCACCAUCAUAUGAGUGGAAAGGCUUUGAAAAAGAUGAAAUUAUUCAUUCUAAUUGGUCUUUUGUGCAACUUCACAAAAACAUAGACCCUUCUAAGAAAAUCACGUGCAUCAUUACUGCUUUCAAUGUAAAUGUGAGCAACUCCAUCAAUUUGAAUGAAUGUAUCCGGAAAGAUGAUCCUAUGCCAUCUCCAGAAGGAGGAAACAUAAGUGAUAAUCAGCCAGAUGUUAACCUAGACUCAGCUGAGAACUUGGAAGGAAGCAGAGAGGAAUCGUCUCCACCAGAAAGUUGA